rnacentral:rRNA from 1 species
UACGGAGGAUGCGAGCGUUAUCCGGAUUUAUUGGGUUUAAAGGGUGCGUAGGCGGCCUGUCAAGUCAGCGGUGAAAUCCCCGUGCUCAACAUGGGAACUGCCGUUGAUACUGCCGGGCUGGAGUACGGUUGCCGUGGGAGGAAUGUGUGGUGUAGCGGUGAAAUGCUUAGAUAUCACACAGAACACCGAUUGCGAAGGCAUCUCACGAAGCCGUCCACUGACGCUGAGGCACGAAAGCGUGGGGAUCAAA